rnacentral:lncRNA from 1 species
ACAUAAUAACUUCUUAAAUUCUAAAGAAACUGCUGUCUUCUAGGUUACCAGAAUGUUUGAAUUUCAGGAAAAGAUCACUUUCACAUCAGUGUGAAACAAAUGUGAAACAUCAAACAGAAGAUCCCUUGAAAACUCUUGAUUUUCAGUCAUGUAACAUGAAGUGAGCUAUUACAUGAUCUUGUCUUUCAGCCCGGCAGAUGGAUUUCCUUGUGCACAGGAACAGAGGCCUCCUAACAGGCAAGAAACAGUGUUACCGUAACACAUACAGGAGCAGUUCAGCAAUCUCCUCUGUCCUGGGACCAGGAGAACAGAGGAGGGACGAGCAAGCAGAUCCCCAGAUAGAUUGAUUCAUCAGAGUUGUGUACUGCACAUUUUAAACUUGAGGUUAGUUUGGAAAAAAAAAUGUUGAUAGGCAAUCUUUAUGCAGCCUAUAGCAGGUAAUGGGA